AACAAUGUUGUGAUCAGUGCAAGUGCAAAAUAUCAACAUUACCGGCCACCUAAAUUUGCUAAGUCGACUUUUUGACUUUUUUAAUGCUCUUCUUCCUUUUCAGGUUGUUGAUCCGGCUGUACUGCUAACUGCCGAUCGAAUGGAAGUGGAAACAAUCUGCGAAUCGGACGUAUUAAUACCAUUUGGCCAACGUGUAUAUCUGCCGGAGAACAGGAUUUUUACCACUGCUGAUUGAGUUCGCUCCACGGUAGAGAAAAAUGUUUCGUAGCGGAAAUUUUUUGAACGGCAGCGAUUAAUGAAUCGAAGAAGAAGGUCUUCAGCGGGAGAAGGAUGAUUCAACAUACUAGGUCAAUUGUCUUCUUCUUCUUCCAGCCACAAUGGACACAUGAUCCGCCGGGUUAUCCGUUCCCUUUACGUGAUUCCACUUGUGUCCAUGUGUCAGCAGUAGAGAUGGUCGGGUAUCGGGUAUUUUACCCGAAACCCGACCCGUACCCGUACCCGACGGGUUUUUGGUCGGGUACGGGUAAAAAAUUUUAUUUUCGAUCGGGUACGGGUCGGGUACGGGUAAAAAAAUUUUUCGCUCACUCGGGUACGGGUCGGGUACGGGUAAAUUUUUUUUUCGGAUCGAUUACCCGACCAUUUGUACUUCACAUAAAUAUGUUUAUACGUUGACGAGAUUUUUUCAUUGCAAAACAGUUCUUCCGAAAAAUAAUCAAUUUGAUUCAAGGGGUUUUGACAUUCCCGCCUAGGACCAGACCUGUCAAACGGCAUCUUUUUCCAGAAAAAAACAUUUUUUUCUUCAUGAAAAGUUAUGUGAAUAUUUCCCGCCCUACUUUGUUUAUAACAUAUUUAAUAAGACACACUGCCUUAGCUCUAUGAUGUUGCGGUCGGAAUCUACUUUUCACGUAGGAUUUAAUGGACUGCCAUUUUAAAGCUGUUUAAUGCACAAUCCAGUAAAAAUUAUUUGAUUCAUAUACUGCCCAUACUCGCAUAUCAGUCUCAUAUCGAUUUUCGCCAAUUUUGAGUUAGCUUGAGGAAUGGAGCCUUUCCUCAAUAAACUCUCAGAAAUUGCAAUGAAAGUUGAGGGUUUGUUCAGUAAAAUAUCAACUCAUUUCUGUGUCCCAUAUGCUAAAGUACCCGCAUAUCAGUCCCAUUCAGUGCAAAAUUUCAAUAAUUUCAUUUGUUGCAAUAUUGGAACAGCAAAGGUGUAUUACCGAUAUUUCAUGUAAUAACACCAAGAUUUAGCAUUAGGGAGCAAAGCAAAGUCUUGGCAUUACAUUCCUUUCGUGGAAUUUGGCCUUUCUGUUUCAACAGACUUCGCAGCCGAUUCUUAGUGUACAGAAUCAUUGCAUGGCUAGUAAUAUGAAUCCUACUGACACUAAGAAUCCUUCCAGGUCGGGGUUCGAACAUACGACAGCUGGCUUGUAAGACCAGCGUCCUAUGCAUUGAACCGCCAACCCGGGACCAGCAUUAGGGAGCACAAUAAAUAAAAAAAAUCGGAAAUAAACUUUUGAUCGUCUUUUUCUCAACAUGCCGAUUUCCCAUAUGGGACUGAUAUGCAAGUAUGGGCAGUAUAUAAAAUGUAGUGUAGUACUCAUAUCACAUUCAGAUACCAGAAAACUGUUAUUUUAAAUAUUGGUUAGAGACUUUCAAAAUUUUCAUAAAAAUCAUUGGGAUUCUUACCAUAAAAACAUGGACAUUUAUUUCAGAAAAUCUGCAUAGAAGUUCUUAUUAUUCUGCACUUCUGGGUGGUGUCACCUCACUUUAAAUGACACCGAUUGAUGGCACAGCAAGUUGGGCUAUAUUGCUAGUUAAUUUUCGUUACUUUUCACUGGACUACAAGUGAAAAUCUCGAUGCGUGACAACGUGGAGUCACAGACUAACAGACAGGACACUCAAAUUAGAUUCUUCAAUCAUUGUAACGGUCAUUUCGAAUAUUCCUUUAUUUGGGACAGUACUCACAUGUGUCAUGAUGGCGCCACGUUACCCUAUCAAAAACAUCCUGUCUGUCAUCUAGACUGUGUUUAUUUUUUUCAUUUACCAACAGAGUUGCCAUUCAUACAGAAUUACCUGUAAUGUAUUGAUUUGUAUACGUCCAUGCGAAUUUCAUGCAGGAAACAGAUUCAAUACAUAUUGCCAAAACUAUAUACAUAAUUGUGCCUACUUCUUAUCCUCCAACGCAAUACAAAAUCGAACCCGAUAUGUUACAAUAUUAACUUGCUUCUGGUCUGCUGCCACUUAAUUUCGGAUGAAAACUACCAACACAAUAAAAAAUAGUCUAGAUGAACAACGUUGAUAAAAAUAAAAUAAAUGGUUACCUUCCAACAUCGCGAAAAAGUUAAAUAUAUUAUCAACGUAAUCCAAUAAUUUAUUGUGACGAUUCAUUUUCAAAUAUUUUGAUGAAAUCAGGCAUCCCUGCAAGCAGCUGAUCGGUGUUGACAAACGAGGGGAAACCAACUAGUAAAAAAAACUAUUACAUAAUCCAAGGGGUGUACAGAUAGUAAAUAGUUCGCGCAGUACAAUAUAGGUGGAACUAGUGCAUCACGAAAAAUUAUUUUUGUAAGAAUUUACUCAUACUGUCAUGUCUGUUAGUCUGUGGUGGAGUCGCAAAAGUAAGGGUGAAAAUCUUUUCUCGUGUUCACUCGUUGAGGGUUCCACCGGUUCAAAUUUUCACCGUGUUCACUCGUUGAGGGUUCCACCGGUUCAAUGGCUGUAAAAACCACCAGCUACCGAUAACAUCGUGGGUGUGGGUUUGUGAGGUUUACAAAACGGGCAUAGUUGACAGAUUAAUUUAAAUCAAAAUCAUAAUUAAUUUUGCUUUAUAGUAAAAAAUUGUAACCAAAAAAAUUUCCUACGAAUGUUCAAACUACUUACACUUGAAGGACUCACUGUUCACCAUGUUCAAAAUUGAAUUUUUCACACCGGGAAUACACGUACAUUGUUUGAUUCUUUGGUCGAACUGAUAACACACUAUUCAUUUUAGGGGAUGUUCGCAUAACAUUCAUUUUCGUCACGUAUAAUAUUCAAUUUGACAUUUGGAACUAUUUUACGUGAUUUUUCAAGUGAUUCGAAUGUGAAUUUUUAUUUGUGUGUCAAGAUAAUGAGCUCGCUUACUUAUAGUUCUAAAGAAUUGGAUCAAAAGUCGCACUGUUUCGUAAAAACCAUACCUACCCAAAAUUGAGUACAACGAGUAUUACGACAUAUUGGGUAAAUAUGCUUUUUGAAAAAUUUGAGUAGAUAUUACUCGCUUUUGUUGACAUUUGUAAAUGAGUAUAAAGUACCAAAGACAUUGGAAAUCUACAGGGUCCGCCAUCUAACAUUUAUUUUUGAACUAGCGGUUAUUUCGACAUUGGUAACCUAAAUGUCACUUCUGAUUUGACAGAAACUUAGUUGUAUCCUUCCGCUGAACGAAAAUGGUUGUGUGUACGCUUGAGGACCGCGUGAAAAUAGUGCAGUCUUACUUCCAAAAUUAUGGUAAUGUUGCGGAAUAUGUGCAAAAAAUCAUCUUCUCGGAUGAGGCACAUUUUCAUCUCGGCGGGUAUGUUAAUAAGCAAAAUUUUCGCAUCUGGUGACGGAAAACCCGCACGUCAUCAUGGAGAAGCCGAUCUCAGAGAGUGACGGUUUGGUGCGGAUUUUUGUCUGGCGGCAUCAUUGGGCCUUUUUUCUUAGAAAAUGAGGCAGGAGCCGCCGCCACGGUCAAUGGCGAGCGGUACCGCGUCAUCAUUAGCGAUUGGUUCUUCCCGUUACUUGAAGAGGUAGACUUGGACACCUUUUAAUUCCAACAAGACGGCGCUCCGUGCCACACAGCCAACGCUACGAUCGAUCAUCUGUGCACAGUCUUCGGAGAUCGAAUUAUCAGUCGAAAUUCGGAUGUCGUUUGGCCGCUUCGGAGCUGUGAUUUGACACCGUUAGACUAUUAUCUUUGAGCGGCUGUCAAAGAUAAGUGUUAUGUGGACAAGCCAGAGACAAUUCAAGCCUUGAAGGAUAACAUUCGUGCAUCCAUAGCUGAAAUAAAGCUGCAUACAAUCGAAAAUGUAUUAAAAAGCUGGACCGACCGUAUGGCGUACUGCAAGGCCAGCCGAGGCAGCCAUUUGAAUGAAAUUAUAUUCCACAAUUACCCGGAAGGAUUGUACUUUAAUAUGAAAAAAAAAAUUUUGAAUUCGGAUGAACCGUUUGUUUUUUUAUGCAUGUUUAAAACAAAGUUACAUUACAUUAUUCAUGCUUCACAGUGUAUUUAUAUGUUUAAAAGUAAACAAGCAUUUUAAUGUAUUUUUCUUACCAACUAGAGCCUGAUACGGCUCGAUAUCUAAAACACAUUUUUUUCCAUACUGAAUUUUGGUAAAAUUUUUACUACUCAUUCGGGUCGGGUACGGGUACAGGUAAAUUUUAAUCGGGUACGGGUCGGGUACGGGUAAAAUUUUUUAUUUUUUUUCGGGUACGGGUCGGGUACGGGUAAUUUUUAUUUAUUAUUGAUCGGGUACGGGUC